CCCUACGGGGGGCAGCAGUCGCGAAAACUUUGCAAUAAGCGAAAGCUUGACAGGGCUAUCCCGAGUGCCAUCCGCUGAGGAAGGCUUUUACCCAGUCUAGAACGCUGGGGGAAUAAGGAGAGGGCAAGUCUGGUGUCAGCCGCCGCGGUAAUACCAGCUCUCCGAGUGGUGUGGAUGUUUAUUGGGCCUAAAGCAUCCGUAGCUGGCUAAGUUAGUCCCUUGUUAAAUCCACCGAAUUAAUCGUUGGAUUGCGGGGGAUACUGCUUGGCUAGGGGACGAGAGAGGCAGACGGUAUUUUCGGGGUAGGGGUGAAAUCCUAUAAUCCCGGGAAGACCACCAGUGGCGAAGGCUGUCUGCUAGAACGCGCCCGACGGUGAGGGAUGAAAGCUGGGGGAGCGAACCGGAUUAGAUACCCCGGUAGU
rnacentral:rRNA from 1 species